AUUGAACGCUGGCGGCGUGCCUAACACAUGCAAGUCGAGCGGUAACAGGUGUAGCAAUACAUGCUGACGAGCGGCGGACGGGUGAGUAACGCUUGGGAAUCUGCCUAUUAGUGGGGGACAACCCGGGGAAACUCGGGCUAAUACCGCAUACGCUCUACGGAGGAAAGCCGGGGACCGCAAGGCCUGGCGCUAAUAGAUGAGCCCAAGGUCGGAUUAGCUAGUUGGUAGGGUAAUGGCCUACCAAGGCGACGAUCCGUAACUGGUCUGAGAGGACGACCAGUCACACCGGAACUGAGACACGGUCCGGACUCC
rnacentral:rRNA from 1 species